ensembl:misc_RNA Metazoa_SRP Metazoan signal recognition particle RNA
GCCGGGCACGGUGGCGUGCGCCUGUAGUCCCAGCUACUCGGGAGGCUGAGGCAGGAGGAUCGCUUGAGCCCAGGAGUUCUGGGCUGUAGUGUGCUAUGCCGAUUGGGUGUCCGCACUAAGUUCGGCAUCAAUAUGGUGACCUCCCAGGAGCGGGGGACCACCAGGUUGCCUAAGGAGGGGUGAACCGGCCCAGGUCGGAAACGGAGCAUGUCAAAAAUUAACCUUAAAUUGUGACAUUUUGAAUAAUAAAAAAUUUCCCUUAAACUCAUCAGUUUAAGUGAGCUGAUUUGCUUAUU